AGAACCUUACCAACCCUUGACAUCCCGGUUGCGAGGACCAGAGAUGGACCUUUUCAGUUCGGCUGGACCGGAGACAGGUGCUGCAUGGCUGUCGUCAGCUCGUGUCGUGAGAUGUUGGGUUAAGUCCCGCAACGAGCGCGACCCUCGCCUUUAGUUGCCACCAUUCAGUUGGGCACUCUAAAGGGACUGCCGGUGAUAAGCCGGAGGAAGGUGGGGAUGACGUCAAGUCCUCAUGGCCCUUACGGGUUGGGCUACACACGUGCUACAAUGGCGGUGACAGAGGGCAGCUACUUCGCAAGGAGAAGCUAAUCCCAAAAAGCCGUCUCAGUUCAGAUUGCACUCUGCAACUCGAGUGCAUGAAGUCGGAAUCGCUAGUAAUCGCUAAUCAGCAGGUAGCGGUGAAUACGUUCCCGGGCCUUGUACACACCG
rnacentral:rRNA from 1 species